rnacentral:lncRNA from 14 species
CUUGUGAGGAGGUAUCAGGGAAAUGCAGCACAUACAAGGACCAGCGGAGCCAGCAGCCCUCCUUUGGGGAUGAGGAACCUCCUCUCUGGAGAACUGUGAUUUUGAGGACCUUCCAUCUCUGGGGGGAAGUUGUAUGGGAAGCCAAUGGGGUUUUGCUGCUUUCUGCAUCCACAGCACAUCUGCUGCACCUCCAGUUUAUCCUCUUGGGCAGAGAAACACCAUGAGUCACUGCUGAAAAGCUCAACAUUGUGAAGCGCGGAAUCGUUUCAAACCACAAAUCCCUCUUAUUUAGCAAAUACCAAAGCUGAAACAGGAGCAGAGAUGGAAAUGUCCUGGAGGCAGGGAGAAAAUAAGG